rnacentral:rRNA from 1 species
UACAGAGGUCUCAAGCGUUGUUCGGAUUCAUUGGGCGUAAAGGGUGCGUAGGCGGCGCGGUAAGUCGGGUGUGAAAUCUCGGAGCUUAACUUCGAAACUGCAUUCGAUACUGCCGUGCUUGAGGACUGGAGAGGAGACUGGAAUUUACGGUGAGCGGUGAAAUGCGUAGAUAUCGUAAGGAAGACCAGUGGCGGAAGGCGGGUC